rnacentral:rRNA from 1 species
AGGUGGUUAUUGCGGCGGUGUCCCACCUCUUCCCAUUCCGAACAGAGAAGUUAAGCCCGCCUGCGCCGAUGGUACUGCAAUGCAAUGCGGGAGAGUAGGAGGCCGCCU